rnacentral:rRNA from 1 species
GACGAACGCUGGCGGCGUGCCUAAUACAUGCAAGUAGAACGCUGAAGAGAGGAGCUUGCUCUUCUUGGAUGAGUUGCGAACGGGUGAGUAACGCGUAGGUAACCUGCCUUGUAGCGGGGGAUAACUAUUGGAAACGAUAGCUAAUACCGCAUAACAAUGGAUGACACAUGUCAUUUAUUUGAAAGGGGCAAUUGCUCCACUACAAGAUGGAACUGCGUUGUAUUAGCUAGUAGGUGAGGUAAUGGCUCACCUAGGCGACGAUACAUAGCCGACCUGAGAGGGUGAUCGGCCACACUGGGACUGAGACACGGCCCAGACUCCUACGGGAGGCAGCAGUAGGGAAUCUUCGGCAAUGGGGGCAACCCUGACCGAGCAACGCCGCGUGAGUGAAGAAGGUUUUCGGAUCGUAAAGCUCUGUUGUAAGUCAAGAACGGGUGUGAGAGUGGAAAGUUCACACUGUGACGGUAGCUUACCAGAAAGGGACGGCUAACUACGUG